GACGAACGCUGGCGGCGUGCUUAACACAUGCCAGUCGAACGGAAAGGCCCUGCUUUUGUGGGGUGCUCGAGUGGCGAACGGGUGAGUAACACGUGAGUAACCUGCCCUUGACUUUGGGAUAACUUCAGGAAACUGGGGCUAAUACCGGAUAGGAGCUCCUGCUGCAUGGUGGGGGUUGGAAAGUUUCGGCGGUUGGGGAUGGACUCGCGGCUUAUCAGCUUGUUGGUGGGGUAGUGGCUUACCAAGGCUUUGACGGGUAGCCGGCCUGAGAGGGGGACCGGCCCCAUAGGAUCGAAGGUGGGGCCCGGACCCAACCGGGAGGGAGGGGGGGGGAAUAGAGCAAAAAGGGCGGAGGCCUGAAGGAGGAACGCCGGGUGCGGGAAAACGGCCUUCGGGUUGAAACCCACUUUCCGCUGUAACGAAGCGGAAGUGACGGAAAUGGGUAAAAAAGCCCGGGCAAAUACGGG
rnacentral:rRNA from 1 species